UACACAUGCAAGUCGAACGGCAGCGCGGGAGCAAUCCUGGCGGCGAGUGGCGAACGGGUGAGUAAUACAUCGGAACGUGCCCAAUCGUGGGGGAUAACGCAGCGAAAGCUGUGCUAAUACCGCAUACGAUCUACGGAUGAAAGCAGGGGAUCGCAAGACCUUGCGCGAAUGGAGCGGCCGAUGGCAGAUUAGGUAGUUGGUGAGGUAAAGGCUCACCAAGCCUUCGAUCUGUAGCUGGUCUGAGAGGACGACCAGCCACACUGGGACUGAGACACGGCCCAGACUCCUACGGGAGGCAGCAGUGGGGAAUUUUGGACAAUGGGCGAAAGCCUGAUCCAGCCAUGCCGCGUGCAGGAUGAAGGCCUUCGGGUUGUAAACUGCUUUUGUACGGAACGAAACGGCCUUUUCUAAUAAAGAGGGCUAAUGACGGUACCGUAAGAAUAAGCACCGGCUAACUACGUGCCAGCAGCCGCGGUAAUACGUAGGGUGCAAGCGUUAAUCGGAAUUACUGGGCGUAAAGCGUGCGCAGGCGGUUAUGUAAGACAGUUGUGAAAUCCCCGGGCUCAACCUGGGAACUGCAUCUGUGACUGCAUAGCUAGAGUACGGUAGAGGGGGAUGGAAUUCCGCGUGUAGCAGUGAAAUGCGUAGAUAUGCGGAGGAACACCGAUGGCGAAGGCAAUCCCCUGGACCUGUACUGACGCUCAUGCACGAAAGCGUGGGGAGCAAACAGGAUUAGAUACCCUG
rnacentral:rRNA from 1 species